rnacentral:rRNA from 1 species
UACGUAGGGGGCAAGCGUUGUCCGGAAUCAUUGGGCGUAAAGGGUGCGUAGGCGGCGCGGUAAGUCGGGUGUGAAAUCUUGGAGCUUAACUCCGAAACUGCAUUCGAUACUGCCGUGCUUGAGGACUGGAGAGGAGACUGGAAUUUACGGUGUAGCGGUGAAAUGCGUAGAUAUCGUAAGGAAGACCGAGUGGCGAAGGCGGGUCUCUGGACAGUUCCUGACGCUGAGGCACGAAGGCCAGGGAGCAAACGGG